GUGAAUCAUCGAAUCUUUGAACGCAAAUUGCACUCUCUGGUAUUCCGGAGAGUAUGCCUGUUUGAGGGUCAGUUUAAUCAAAAAUCGGUGUGGUUGCCGCUUUUCGUGGUGACGCACCGGAUUUGGGUCGCUUUGUUUUCGGUUAAGUGCCUUAAAAUUUUGCAUGAUUUUCAUUGAACAUUUUUAAAUGAUUUUAUGUACGUUUGAGAUAUCGAAUAUUAGGUGUGGUCAUUCCCAUGAUCCGGGCCUAUAAUUUCCC
rnacentral:misc_RNA from 1 species